rnacentral:rRNA from 1 species
AGGACGAACGCUGGCGGCGUGCUUAACACAUGCAAGUCGAGCGGAAAGGCCCUUCGGGGUACUCGAGCGGCGAACGGGUGAGUAACACGUGGGCAACCUGCCCCUAGCUCUGGGGUAACUCCGGGAAACCGGGCUAAUACCGGAUACGAUCUUCCAUGGCAUCUCGGAAGAUGGAAAGUUUUUCGGCUAGGGAUGGGCCCGCGGCCUAUCAGCUUGUUGGUGAGGUAACGGCCCACCAAGGCGACGACGGGUAGCC